GUGGGGGAUAACGUAGCGAAAGUUACGCUAAUACCGCAUACGAUCUAAGGAUGAAAGUGGGGGAUCGCAAGACCUCAUGCUCGUGGAGCGGCCGAUAUCUGAUUAGCUAGUUGGUAGGGUAAAAGCCUACCAAGGCAUCGAUCAGUAGCUGGUCUGAGAGGACGACCAGCCACACUGGAACUGAGACACGGUCCAGACUCCUACGGGAGGCAGCAGUGGGGAAUUUUGGACAAUGGGCGAAAGCCUGAUCCAGCAAUGCCGCGUGAGUGAAGAAGGCCUUCGGGUUGUAAAGCUCUUUUGUCAGGGAAGAAACGGUGAGAGCUAAUAUCUUUUGCUAAUGACGGUACCUGAAGAAUAAGCACCGGCUAACUACGUGCCAGCAGCCGCGGUAAUACGUAGGGUGCAAGCGUUAAUCGGAAUUACUGGGCGUAAAGCGUGCGCAGGCGGUUUUGUAAGUCUGAUGUGAAAUCCCCGGGCUCAACCUGGGAAUUGCAUUGGAGACUGCAAGGCUAGAAUCUGGCAGAGGGGGGUAGAAUUCCACGUGUAGCAGUGAAAUGCGUAGAUAUGUGGAGGAACACCGAUGGCGAAGGCAGCCCCCUGGGUCAAGAUUGACGCUCAUGCACGAAAGCGUGGGGAGCAAACAGGAUUAGAUACCCUGGUAGUCCACGCCCUAAACGAUGUCUACUAGUUGUCGGGUCUUAAUUGACUUGGUAACGCAGCUAACGCGUGAAGUAGACCGCCUGGGGAGUACGGUCGCAAGAUUAAAACUCAAAGGAAUUGACGGGGACCCGCACAAGCGGUGGAUGAUGUGGAUUAAUUCGAUGCAACGCGAAAAACCUUACCUACCCUUGACAUGGCUGGAAUCCUCGAGAGAUUGAGGAGUGCUCGAAAGAGAACCAGUACACAGGUGCUGCAUGGCUGUCGUCAGCUCGUGUCGUGAGAUGUUGGGUUAAGUCCCGCAACGAGCGCAACCCUUGUCAUUAGUUGCUACGAAAGGGCACUCUAAUGAGACUGCCGGUGACAAACCGGAGGAAGGUGGGGAUGACGUCAAGUCCUCAUGGCCCUUAUGGGUAGGGCUUCACACGUCAUACAAUGGUACAUACAGAGCGCCGCCAACCCGCGAGGGGGAGCUAAUCGCAGAAAGUGUAUCGUAGUCCGGAUUGUAGUCUGCAACUCGACUGCAUGAAGUUGGAAUCGCUAGUAAUCGCGGAUCAGCAUGUCGCGGUGAAUACGUUCCCGGGUCUUGUACACACCGCCCGUCACACCAUGGGAGCGGGUUUUACCAGAAGUAGGUAGCUUAA
rnacentral:rRNA from 1 species